GGAGAGGUGGCCGAGAGGCUGAAGGCGGCAGGUUGCUAACCUGUUAUACGGGUUUAAAUCCGUAUCGAGGGUUCGAAUCCCUCCCUCUCCGCCA
rnacentral:tRNA from 2 species